rnacentral:rRNA from 1 species
GUGCCAGCAGCCGCGGUAAUACGUAGGUGGCAAGCGUUGUCCGGAUUUAUUGGGCGUAAAGCGAGCGCAGGCGGUUUCUUAAGUCUGAUGUGAAAGCCUUCGGCUCAACCGAAGAAGUGCAUCGGAAACUGGGAAACUUGAGUGCAGAAGAGGACAGUGGAACUCCAUGUGUAGCGGUGAAAUGCGUAGAUAUAUGGAAGAACACCAGUGGCGAAGGCGGCUGUCUGGUCUGUAACUGACGCUGAGGCUCGAAAGCAUGGGUAGCAAACAGGAUUAGAUACCCUGGUAGUCCAUGCCGUAAACGAUGAGUGCUAGGUGUUGGAGGGUUUCCGCCCUUCAGUGCCGCAGCUAACGCAUUAAGCACUCCGCCUGGGGAGUACGACCGCAAGGUUGAAACUCAAAGGAAUUGACGGGGGCCCGCACAAGCGGUGGAGCAUGUGGUUUAAUUCGAAGCAACGCGAAGAACCUUACCAGGUCUUGACAUCCUUUGACCACUCUAGAGAUAGAGCUUUCCCUUCGGGGACAAAGUGACAGGUGGUGCAUGGUUGUCGUCAGCUCGUGUCGUGAGAUGUUGGGUUAAGUCCCGCAACGAGCGCAACCCUUAUUACUAGUUGCCAGCAUUUAGUUGGGCACUCUAGUGAGACUGCCGGUGACAAACCGGAGGAAGGUGGGGACGACGUCAAAUCAUCAUGCCCCUUAUGACCUGGGCUACACACGUGCUACAAUGGAUGGUACAACGAGUCGCGAGACCGCGAGGUUUAGCUAAUCUCUUAAAACCAUUCUCAGUUCGGAUUGUAGGCUGCAACUCGCCUACAUGAAGUCGGAAUCGCUAGUAAUCGCGGAUCAGCAUGCCGCGGUGAAUACGUUCCCGGGCCUUGUACACACCGCCCGU